GUUCGCUGCUCGAGGCUGCGCUUCGAGGCGGGUCCCGAAGGCCAGGCUUGGUGGAGAGCUGGUUCUGUCAGCAGCUGGGCUUCUCCAUGUCUGACAGCUUCCCUUGGCUCACCCAAAGUCACUGCUCACUGAACCCAUGGAGGCCGAAGCCACAGAUUCAGAGGACUAAUGUCACUUCCCUCAAAUGUGGGUAAAUUGAAGAGAUAUUUGAGCAAAAUCCGUGGAGCUCAACUCUAAACAGGAUUCCUCUUAUGUCAUCCUGGUUGGGCUGGAACUUGCCAUCCUCCUGCCUUAGUGCUGGCGUUACUGGCAUAAGGAAAUCUGCCCAGCUUGGAAAUAAGGUCUUUGUGGAUAUAAUGGUUGAAAUAAGAUUAGCGAGCCAAGCCCUGAUCCAGUAAAGGAGUGGUGUCCCUGUGAGAAGAGGAAGUUUGCCAUUUAAAGACACCAAGAAGAUGCCAUCUAGAGGCCAAGGGCAGGGACCUGGCACUGACCUUCCCUCCAUAGCCCUCCACAGAAAUGAGUCCUAGCCACACACUGAUCCUGGGCCUGCAGCUUCCAGAACGGUUCAAGGCUCCGAGUUUGCUGUCCUUUGUUAUGGCAGCGCGCGCGCGCGCGCGCACACACACACACACACACACACACACACACACACACACACACACACACCCGGAAUGCCGAGCAGGAGUACAGUGAGAGGCUGCCAUCCUCAUGAGUGAAGAAGACCCCGGAAGGGCAGCAGAGCUUGGGCCUUCGCCUGAGGGCAGAGCAGGGACCAGAUGCCUGGGAGGAUGGAGAGAGGUGGGGUCGGAAGAGGCAGCAGCUUCUGGUAGGAGCCUCAGUCUCCCACUUCAAGAAGGACUUUCAGAAUGUAUUUUUGGGAAAAGGGAGAAGUUGCUCGAGAGCCAGUGGCAUGGCCCUGGUGAAUUGCUUGUGUUGAAUGAAGCACAGACUAAUGUAGCAAACAUUUGUAACCUUGUUAGUCAAUUAAAAUAUCUGCCCUACUAAUGAGAAGGAGAAAGGGGCUUCUGGAAUUUAGAACCCUAGUUCUAAAUUUUCUGUGUCACCAUCCACCCUCUUGACCAUCUUUCUCCCCAGUCAACGGAACCAACAAGCCAUCAUUUAAGCUGGCCUCAGGCCCUUCUGUGAGUUCUCUACAGAGAUCCCUCAUGGAGCUUUUCUUUACUUCGUUUUAAGGUCAGCUGUUUGGACCCCCCUUUUCCUUAUGUCCUUCUCCUGGGCCAGGCUUGCCCCAGGCUCCCAGUCCUCAGGCCUUUCUAGCUUGCUGGCACCAAUUGCCAAGGGCUAAGUUUCCAUUGCUCAUUGCAGCUCACUCCACACCCACCUCUUGCCUUAGCCUUAGGAAAUGCAGAGAGAUAGGGCUCCCCUGAAAUCUGCACACCCAACCAGGAAAGUGGGCAGUCUCUCAUUAGUCAGUGGAGAACAAAAUCACAAGGGCUUGGAAACUGCCAUUCAUGAGGACGUGUGGCUCUGGACCCAGCUUUGACCAACUUCCUCUCUUUUGUUGGUCUCUUAAGCUACUGAAGGGCUCUUUUUCUUUUUUCUAUUGUUCUUCGUAUUUAGUUAUUGGGAGUGGGCAGGCAUGUGUGCUAAAGUACAGCCGUGGAGACCAGAAGGCACCUAGUGGGAGUUGGUUCUCUCCUAUCAUGUGGCUUAAGGGGAUCCAAUAACUCAGGUUAUUGGGCUCAGUCACCUCCUUUAACCCACUGAGCCAUCUUUUCCAUUAUAUGAAGAGCAAUUUCUUAAGGAACAGUCCCUCACCAGUGACUUCCUUUAGCUGCAUAGUUACCUAUUUCCUUUUUCCUUUCUGCUAAAUCCUUUGUCUUCCCCAAACCCCUCAAGAAGGCCUGUCAACUCUACCCUGAUUUUGGCUUUUUUGGUGACAACAAUUGAUCAAACUCACAGUAUGUGGCUUGGAAAAAUAAAAAGAGUACCAGUUCAGCCCAGGCUCUUGGGCUGUUCCAUAGCCGUGGCCCUCCGAUACCUUUGUAUAUAAACUGGACAUUCCUUCGAGCAAAUGUCCUAAGAUAAGAGCACUGGGUGACCACUAAUAUUAUCAACUUGACAGGAUCUAGAGCCAUUGAAGAGAUCUCUAAGGGAGUCCUGAGGGAUUGCUUAGAUUGGGUUAGUUGAGGUGGAAGACUCAUCUUGAA